GACGAACGCUGGCGGCGUGCUUAACACAUGCAAGUCGAACGGAAAGGCCCUGCUUUUGUGGGGUGCUCGAGUGGCGAACGGGUGAGUAACACGUGAGUAACCUGCCCUUGACUUUGGGAUAACUUCAGGAAACUGGGGCUAAUACCGGAUAGGAGCUCCUGCUGCAUGGUGGGGGUUGGAAAGUUUCGGCGGUUGGGGAUGGACUCGCGGCUUAUCAGCUUGUUGGUGGGGUAGUGGCUUACCAAGGCUUUGACGGGUAGCCGGCCUGAGAGGGUGACCGGCGACAUUGGGACUAAGAUACGGCGCAGACUCGUACGGGAGGCAGCAGUGGGGAAUAUUGCACAGUGGGCGGAAGCCUGAUGCAGCAACGCCGCGUGCGGGAUGACGGCCUUCGGGUUGUAAACCGCUUUCGCCUGUGACGAAGCGUGAGUGACGGUAAUGGGUAAAGAAGCACCGGCUAACUACGUG
rnacentral:rRNA from 1 species